rnacentral:ncRNA from 2 species
AUCUUAUCCAGAGAAGGGGAGGGAUUGGCCCGAUGAACCUUCAGCAACCUGAAAGCUUUUGCUUGGAAGGUGCUAAUUCCUGCCGGAACACCGGAAAGAUAAGAG